GCAAGUCGAGCGGACAGAUGGGAGCUUGCUCCCUGAUGUUAGCGGCGGACGGGUGAGUAACACGUGGGUAACCUGCCUGUAAGACUGGGAUAACUCCGGGAAACCGGGGCUAAUACCGGAUGCUUGUUUGAACCGCAUGGUUCAAACAUAAAAGGUGGCUUCGGCUACCACUUACAGAUGGACCCGCGGCGCAUUAGCUAGUUGGUGAGGUAACGGCUCACCAAGGCAACGAUGCGUAGCCGACCUGAGAGGGUGAUCGGCCACACUGGGACUGAGACACGGCCCAGACUCCUACGGGAGGCAGCAGUAGGGAAUCUUCCGCAAUGGACGAAAGUCUGACGGAGCAACGCCGCGUGAGUGAUGAAGGUUUUCGGAUCGUAAAGCUCUGUUGUUAGGGAAGAACAAGUACCGUUCGAAUAGGGCGGUACCUUGACGGUACCUAACCAGAAAGCCACGGCUAACUACGUGCCAGCAGCCGCGGUAAUACGUAGGUGGCAAGCGUUGUCCGGAAUUAUUGGGCGUAAAGGGCUCGCAGGCGGUUUCUUAAGUCUGAUGUGAAAGCCCCCGGCUCAACCGGGGAGGGUCAUUGGAAACUGGGGAACUUGAGUGCAGAAGAGGAGAGUGGAAUUCCACGUGUAGCGGUGAAAUGCGUAGAGAUGUGGAGGAACACCAGUGGCGAAGGCGACUCUCUGGUCUGUAACUGACGCUGAGGAGCGAAAGCGUGGGGAGCGAACAGGAUUAGAUACCCUGGUAGUCCACGCCGUAAACGAUGAGUGCUAAGUGUUAGGGGGUUUCCGCCCCUUAGUGCUGCAGCUAACGCAUUAAGCACUCCGCCUGGGGAGUACGGUCGCAAGACUGAAACUCAAAGGAAUUGACGGGGGCCCGCACAAGCGGUGGAGCAUG
rnacentral:rRNA from 1 species